rnacentral:rRNA from 1 species
CACGUAGGGCGCAAGCGUUGUCCGGAAUUAUUGGGCGUAAAGAGCUCGUAGGUGGUUUGUUACGUCUACUGUGAAAUCCUAGGGCUUAACCCUGGGCUUGCAGUGGAUACGGGCAGACUAGAGGUAGGUAGGGGAGAAUGGAAUUCCUGGUGUAGCGGUGAAAUGCGCAGAUAUCAGGAGGAACACCGGUGGCGAAGGCGGUUCUCUGGGCCUUACCUGACACUGAGGAGCGAAAGCGUGGGGAGCGAACAGG